GAUGAACGCUGGCGGCGUGCUUAACACAUGCAAGUCGAGCGAAGCGCUUUUGCGGAUUUCUUCGGAUUGAAGCAACUGUGACUGAGCGGCGGACGGGUGAGUAACGCGUGGGUAACCUGCCUCAUACAGGGGGAUAACAGUUGGAAACGACUGCUAAUACCGCAUAAGCGCACAGUACCGCAUGGUACCGUGUGAAAAACUCCGGUGGUAGGAGAUGGACCCGCGUCUGAUUAGGUAGUUGGUGGGGUAACGGCCUACCAAGCCGACGAUCAGUAGCCGACCUGAGAGGGUGACCGGCCACAUUGGGACUGAGACACGGCCCAAACUCCUACGGGAGGCAGCAGUGGGGAAUAUUGCACAAUGGGGGAAACCCUGAUGCAGCGACGCCGCGUGAGCGAUGAAGUAUUUCGGUAUGUAAAGCUCUAUCAGCAGGGAAGAAAAUGACGGUACCUGACUAAGAAGCCCCGGCUAACUACGUGCCAGCAGCCGCGGUAAUACGUAGGGGGCAAGCGUUAUCCGGAUUUACUGGGUGUAAAGGGAGCGUAGACGGCAUGGCAAGCCAGAUGUGAAAGCCCGGGGCUCAACCCCGGGACUGCAUUUGGAACUGUCAGGCUAGAGUGUCGGAGAGGAAAGCGGAAUUCCUAGUGUAGCGGUGAAAUGCGUAGAUAUUAGGAGGAACACCAGUGGCGAAGGCGGCUUUCUGGACGAUGACUGACGUUGAGGCUCGAAAGCGUGGGGAGCANACAGG
rnacentral:rRNA from 1 species